GUGGAGCCGUUCCUCACGGAACAAGGUGCACUAUGUUUCAUCAGCUGGUUUCCCUACAGUCCCUUAGGUCAAGAAGCACAUCUUUGUUAGACGCAUUUGCGCACACACAGAUGUCCCCAUAGCCUCUUUUUUGGAGGGGGAGGUCGUUAGGUUUAUCUAUUUUUUAUUCAUUUAUUUAUUUUUUAAAUGAAGGUACUGGGGAUUGAAGCCAGGACCUCACACAUGCUAAGCAGGCACUCUACCACUGGGCUAUCUCCCUCCAUAACCUCUUGAUCAGCCAGGACAACCGAAAAAGAGAAUUAAGGCCGGGCAGUUACCAAGUCUACCUGUGUUUGCCUGUGGCUGGCAUUUUCAUCUGGAAGUCCGUGGCUCUGGCUGGAAUUUUGAGCAUUUCACGCCUUGUGAUAAAAUGUCCUUGAAAGCUGUAAUUCAUGAAAAGCUCUUUCCUUUCCGCCCCAGAGUUUGGCGCCUGCCUGGCUCCCCCUGCAAAGCUGGGAACAUCCAGCUUUGCUGCGGAGGCCGGGCUGAAACGAGCAGAGAUCAAGACCCUGGCGGCUGAAUUCGAGCCCACGACCUCAGGCUGGUGGUCUUCCUCCGCGCUCGGCGCCCGGGGAACCGGAGGCCUGGGGACAUCAUUCCAGUACAGGUGCACUUCAGCAAAGGGCUUCUGAGAAAUUCUCUCUUAGUCAGAAUCAGAUGCAUGGUUCCCUUGAAGCCUUUCUGUUGACAAAUACUUUACUGUGUAUAUAUUCGGAAACCUUUUCGCGUCUGCCUGUGCAGAGAAGGAAAAAGGAAGAGGCCUGGUAGAGACCAUGGGGAGGGGCACUUUUAAAUGUUGAUUUUCUUGUUAUUCAGGGGCGGUGAGGCCAACAGUUCAGGAGAGGACAGCCCCUGAACAGGCAGUGUGUUACGCCCAGUUCCCAAGAGGAGGGGGCCCAGCUGGCCCCUCAGGGACGCCCCAGGGCCAUCAGGGGCAGGAGGAGUGAGGGGACGGCGUGGGCAGGAGCCUUUGCUGUGGUUUGCAUGGGAAAGGCAGGACCAGGCGGAGCGCAUGGGGUUAGGGGGGCCCCGGGGAUGAGCAGGUGGGAACAGCGCUUCCUAAAGUGUAAGGACCUGCUGGACGAGUUUGCAUCCCAGUCCGGGCUUGGUCUGUUUGCAGGUGGAAGGCACAGUCUCUCUAAGAACCGGCCAAGCCUGGAGGGGCGGGCUCUCCCGAGUCAGGAGGCCCCAGGUGCCAGAACUCGGAGAACACAGACAGUAAGACAGUGAAGUCAGCACAAGAUGAUCCACCCACAGGCCCCACUUGCUCUCUUUACCUUUUUAACUUCCAAGUGUUUCCAGUUCUGCUGGGGGGCAGUCUGCCUGCCUUGAGAGCCCCUCCCCUGGCACAGAGGGGUGGCAGGGGGGGCUGACAUCCCCAAGUCCAGCCACCCGGGACUCCAGGCCUUACCCGCCCAGCAGCUCACGCACCUGAGUGUGAUGGGUUGUCUGCUCCUGAGGGGUCUCCUUCAGGUCCUGCAUCCCGUCUCCAGGCCACAGAAAAUGCCUUGUGAGUGACCACAGACAGGCUGCAGGGUGCUUGGAGUCUGGGACUCGCCUCGUCAUGGCCUUAUUCCUGGAUGAAAGUGGCAGGAGGGGUGGCUAGGACCAACACGAGGGCCCAUCAGGACGCGGCAUCACCUGUGGGCCCUCGGGAGGCGCCCAAGUCACUCCCCAUCAAGGCUUCCCUGGAGUCAGAGCUCCCUCACCGUCCCGAUCCCCGCUAGGUCUGGCACCCGCAGCCCUAUCUGUCCUCUCUCCCUGGUUCUCCACCCGCCUCAGCCUCAGACUGAACCUCAUGGGCUCGUGGUCCCCGCUUCCUGCUCCGUCUAUGUGGCUCUCUUUAAUGAAGCCACUGAACCCAUCUGUUAAGCUCCCACCUUGGGGUGUGGGUCUAGCUGCUGGGGCUACAGUGAUGAACCAUGUGGAUGCUGAGAAAACACACAUAAGUAGAAUUAAAAGGUAUGAUAAAAUAUUCAAGAGUAAAUAGCAACUUUGUCCAAAGGGUCUGCUUUCGACGGCAGGAUGGGGGUCAGUGAGGAAGAAGGCUGCUCUGGACAAGAUCAGGCCCUGGAGGGCGAGAUCGCCAGUCAGCAGAGAAGGGAGAAGCCGUAUGGGAAGGUCUGGGGCAGGCCUGGCCUGGCUCCUGGAGGGACCUAAAGGGGAUCCCAGGGCCUGGGGGGCUCACCGCUGCUUCCAGUGCCUGGAAGUCAUCCUUACGGGUUCAGUGCAUCAUGCCUCGUGGAUGUUCAGGGAAGGUUUUGGCCACUCUUAUUCCUGCUCCUCCUCUUCCUCAGUAACAACUCCAGUUUCAUUUCGUGGCAAUGCGUGUGGCUCAACAGGGCGUGUGACAGAGUUAUUCAGUGAGCUAUCCUGGGAGUGUUGUUUACGCUUAGGGGAAAGACUCUUAAAAAGGGGAAGAGGCAAAUCCCCCGUUGUUCCUUUUACCAUUUCCCCUGCCCUGGGUGUAGAUGUGGUAUUUGGUGCUCUGGCAGCCAUCUUGGAUGCUGGGAUGGAAGGCACAGAAUGAGGUUAGUGGAGAGUAAAAAUUGAAGCCUGGGUUAACAUUGUGAAGCUGCCACAGUAGCUCUGGACUGCCUGCCUUUCAGGUAUCUUCUGUGUGAAAGAAGAAAAAAAUCUUUCUCACUUAAACCACUGUUAUUUUGGAUUUUUCUGUUAAACGAGGACAAGCUUAGCCCCAACUGACAUAGCGUAACAUGAAGCUGGACCCAUCCCAGGCACUCAGUAGUUAGUUGAGGACUGAGCGAGGGAUCUGUGAGCGUCUCCGUGUAUAGGUGUCGCUCCUUCAAACCGAAGAUACCAAGACACAGGUGGGUGAGGGCUGCCCAGACUAGGAUGAGGGUCCUGUCUCUGAGAUCAUCCCACCCACCUCUGUCCAGCUCCCUCCUCCCUAGAGCUCUGUGUUCACGAUACUGGAAGCAGACUCAGUUUAAGAAAACUCUGAUAUUCUCAACUUAGACUAAAAACAUUAGGCCUGUGGAUGCUUUCUACCAAUAGAUCGUUUUCUUGAAACUGCUGUGUCUCUUCAUGUGGAUUUGAAAAUAUGACUUAGUUUGAGAGAGAUGGAUGUGCUGUUUCAGCCGAGGGUGCAAAGGCAAACUUCACACCCACUUUUUGGAAGUAGACUGUGAAGUCCAGACUCUGUGCUAACUUUUCAAAAACAUUACAGUUAAUCACAGAAAUUUUUUCUUUCCAGUUUUGCUGAGCUACAACUGACAUACAGCACUGUAUAUGUUUAAGGCAUACACCAUAAUGACUCAAUGUACAUACGUCUUGAAGCGAUGACCACAGUGAGCUUAGUGAGCAUUCCUCGUCACAUAGAAACAAAACAAAAGGAAGACACUUUUCCCUUGUGGUGAAAACUCCUAGAUUUACUCCCCGAAGAGCUCUCACGUGUAGCACACAGCGGUGUUCAUCGUGUUAAUCGUGCUGUGCGCUACGUCACUAGUCCUUGUGUGUCUUAUAACCGGAGGUUUGUACGUUCGACCACCUUCAUCCAGUUCCCUCACCCCACCCCCUGCCUCUAGUAACCAUAACUCUGAUCUCUUUUUCUAUGAGUUUAUGUGUUUUUGAAGUAUAAUAGGCCUACAACACUGUGUUAAUUCCUGGUGUACAGUGAUUCACUACUUCUGUACACUUCAGAGUGAUCACCACUGGACCACCUGGGCCUUGAUGUUCCUUUCCAGGGUGUGUAUCUGGUGCACAUCACCGGAUAAGCCAGACACCAACUAGUCCAUCUGAUAAGUGUGUUUCUUGUAUGUGUGUCGUGCUGGCGCUGAGAACGACGUGGACUCACGGGGUGGCACAGCAGCUCUCUGUGUGCACGGGGGGAGGAGCACUUGCUGGAGAGAGGCCCCAGGACGGGUGCUGGUGCCAAAUGCUCUGGGGUUCGGGUGAGAGUUGGGGUGGCGUCUGCUCUGGACCCAGGGGUGAGGCUGGAUUGGUGGAGACGUGGCGGGGAGGGAGGUCAAGGAAGAGUCUGGAAAGAGAGGAUGGGGCCAGGUUUUAGAAAACUUAGAAUGCCAGGCUGGAGGGGGAGCAGUGAGCUGGGACUCCUGGGGGUGUGGGCAGGGAGCGUGUUGGGGGGAGGGCCCGUGAGGGAGCUGGUGAGCUGGAGGCUUCACCAAGGGGAGCUGGUUCUGCAAGGGCAGAGCCUCCCUCCCAAGGCCUCAGCCGCAGUUUCCCCCAGCACCCCUCGGUUGGGGGGCUGCAGGGGUGUCAAGCCCCGAGGCAGCCCCCUCACCUCCCUGUGAUCACCUGUUGUCAGCCCUGUGCCUCUGAGCCUGGUGUUGUCCAGGCAGCUGUCCCCCAGCGCUGGCCAGGUGUGGGCCCGGAUCACCAGACUUGAGAAACAGACCUGAGAGGCCAGAGGCUGUCACAGGACCAGGAGAGAGAGGAAGGCCAAGUUGAGGGGCGGGGGUCUGUGGCCAGGGAGUGGGAGGACCUUGAAAGUUGGCCUGGGUGGUCGGGACAUCACCAUUAGGUAUCAAUGCUGAUGUCACAUGCAUGGCUUCCUGCACAGUUGAUGUUCGAUGAUUCUCUUAGGGCAGGGAGAGUAAAUGGUGGAGGUGGGGGAACUGAGGCCCAGAGAGGCCGAGAGGUGGCAGUCACAGGUAGCAACUUGCUGAAGAAGAGAUGAGUGUCCAGCGCCUCCACCGCCUCCAGGCCGCACAGGGCCCUGGUGUCCACAGGGCUUCCCGCUACUGGGUGCGCGUGGGGUGGCCAUGCUCUCCCUCCCUCUCCUGUAGUAGCAUCAAGGCAGCCCCCUCCAGGCCGCAGCCUUCAGCACACUCGCUGCUGCCCUGGCUGGCUGUGACCCACAGGGGACACUGCGUGAGAUGUCCCCUGUCCUCCCUGCUUCUCACUUCUGGUCACAGAAUAGUCAAAGCUGAUUGAAAGGGACAACAGACAUGGCCGAGCCUAGAGGUGGCCUCUAAACAGCUGUGGCCAUGACCCUGAAGUACCAGAGAGGUGAGUGCUGUGCCUUCAGGCGGGCACCUGUGGGCCAGGCAUUCUGGGGUGCGCUGAGCCUGGGUGAUUGCCCUCCCCUCCAUGACUCUUCUAGGGUCUCCGUUCUCAGGGGUCUCCUGCUGCACCAGCCUCUGUCCUGCAGGCUCACCCCCCAGCAGGGCCCUGUGGCAGUGGACGAGCACUUGGAGUCCACCGGCCCUGAUGACCACGUCUGAGCACUUCUGCCUCUGGACUUGCUGCAGACAUGUGGGUGGGUGCAUCCUUUCUGGAAGGUCCCUGCUACCAGGGACAGAUAGAUCUACCUCAGACUCCUCCAGCACCUUUUGUCGCCACCUUGUUGAUUCCUGACUAACAGCUCAGCACUAACAUUAACUUGCAAAACCUUGUUACUGUAAAUUUUACUAAGGUGGAAGCUUACCAAAACUGCAUACAAAUCGUAGGUGGUGAAUUUGCACAAUUUGAACAUACUCGUAUGACCGACAUGCAGAUUGAGAAAUAGAUCACAGCACCCCCAGGGCCCUCGCCCAGGUCCCCUAAGCCCCUUCCCCUCCAGAUUAGCAUUGUCUGCUUCUGAACUCUGUAUGAGUUACAUGAGACGCAGCCCUGCCGAUGCUGUGGCUGAAGUUCACCCCCUUCAUUGCUGGCUCCGCAUCGACCACACCCCCUCCAUCCACCCAGCUGCCCGGGGCACCGCGGGUCUCACGUCUGGGGCUCUGACGGUUCCCGGGGCUGCUGUGAACGUUCUUGCACACCCUAAUGCGUUUCUGUCGGACACAUCACGGGUCUGCUGGUCAGAGGGGACGCCUGCGUGCAGGGAGAGGUUGCGGCGUUAGCUGACACGUGCGCCCCACCGCCCAGGCUGGUCUGUGAGCAGGUGCCACAGCUCCGUUUCCCGGUGCUCCUAACCUAGUGCCUUGUGCUGCACAGCCAGCUUCCUUCUGCCCAUCGCCCGGCUCUGCGCAAAUGCAGGUGUUCUUCCUCACCUGGUAGCAUCUCCCAGGAAGCCCCCCAGGAUCCUCUGAAGGGCAGUGCCCAGCGUCCCAUGUCCUGAUUUGCUUCCCCACUAGCCAGGACUCAGGCUCAGCCUGUCAGUUGCAAAUGGCAAGGACAGUAGACGGGGACCCAGUGAAUUGGGGAGGAACUCGGUUCUCUAAGGCUGCAUUCUUCCUGGGGCUCGGCCUUUGGGAUUUAUUUAUGAGGGGGAACUAUAGCAGGACCUGGUUUGUAACCACCAGCUGUCGCUAUAGCAACUCCUCACUUACAGCACUAAAUAUAGAACAUCUUCAUUCCUGGAAUAGAAAAAUCAAAGAAAAUCAAAGUGGGGGAGGGCCUAUCUGCCCAGCUGUGUGUUCCCGGACUGAUUUCGAGGUGCAGCUUCUUGGGGCCUCUUUAACUGCCCACCUAAGAGCAGAAUGGGCUUGGGUGGGACGGCGCGUCUGCGCAGCAGACACUCUCCAAGCUGCAGGGACCCCCGAGCCUCCCCUGCUCCAACCCCAUGUGUCUUCUCCUUCAUAGGCUGAACCACAGAAUGUAAUACUUCAUUGUAAAGUCAUUUCAUUUGGG